rnacentral:misc_RNA from 1 species
AAGAAACAGCUCAUCCUCCAGAAGAAGGGAGAAGAGGAGCAUUUGAAGCAAGAACCAAUUCAUCCGAGUGUGAUAGCUGUAAGCUGACGUCAGGUAUCAAAGUGGUGGGUGCGGAUAGGUCACAUUGUCAAGUUGGAAUUCAGCCAUAUAAUUCUGCUGAGGGAGUUGUUUGUCCAUGCCCUCCGCAUGGUUGUUGUGCCAUAUCUG